ensembl:rRNA 5S_rRNA 5S ribosomal RNA
GCUUACGGCCACACCGCCUGGUUCACGCCGAUCUCGGAAGCUAACAUAGGUUGGGCCUGGUUAGUACUUGGAUGGGAGACCGCCUGGGAAUACCAGGUGCUGUAAGCU